GCUAUAUUUAGUCACAUCUGCUCUGAAAUGUAGGUGUAUUUUGCCUUAAACCCUUAGGCAUGUGAACAAAGGCAACACUAUUGACCUGUCCGAAAAACGCUUCAAUUGUGGAGCAUAAAUAAGCAGGUGGUAACAAGAGCAUCCAAGUGGAUCUGGGCCAGGCCUGGGGACCUGCUGAGCUCACCCAGCUCAGAGGCAGUAACGAGAAGGCAACACAAAGCAGGAGACAUCACCAUUACUGUACAUUCCAAGGGCAGGAAGGAGGAGAGUGCUCCCCCUGUGGAAGCAAGGGGGUAAGAAUUCUUGAAGAAAAAGUAGAAAGCUGAGAUUGGAAUCUCAGGAAGAUCAAGUGCCAGUCCCAUGUCCAAGAGGUCAGGGAAGGACCAAGACUUCCAAGUGCGAGGCGGUGUGGAGGGCUGUUUCCUUGAAUGGCAGCUGAAUGCACCAGCAGGAUCCUUGGCAGCGAUGCCCAGGCACUGAAGCUGGGCAUUCAGGAGAGCUAAAUGAAGAAAAGAAACUUGAGCAAACUACUUCCUGGAACACCGAGAACCUGAUUGGGAAAUUAAGAAGUACCAGAUUCUCUCUAUUCUCCCACCAGCCAAGAAAAUAGUGUUACUGCUUUAUUACGCUCUUGCUUGAGAAGUUUUUCCCCAUCCUAAAGUAACAACUUCAUACCACAAGUCAAGCAGAAGCAUGGUGGAAGGGUUCAUCUGGGGAGACAAGUGGCUUGUUCUACAUCUCAAAGGGACACCUCCUUAGGUGAGAGGUAUUGGAUGCACCAGCUUGCCUGUUGACCAUUCUCUUGUGAUGAAAGGUCUGGCCUUUGUCUGCCUGGCAGACAAAAAUCUUUCACUCAGCAGGACACCUAGACAGGCAGGAAUAACUGCCACAGUCAAGCACUCAGUACCAGUAAGGAGGCUGAACUGAUAGCAAAAGACCUGGAAGUCACAGGCUUUUGUUAACUCUGCACUGUCUGCCUGGUGCCCACUGGAACGCUAGUUUCCAGCCUAGAAACCUAGCAGCUUGGGAAAGCGACACCCUCCGUCUGAAGCGCAGGAGAGGAUUCCUCCAGCUAUUUUCAACUUUUCAGGAAGCUUAAAAGUAAUUGUUUGUCUCCAGCGAUAAGGGAGACCACCCCCGACCCCCUGAAUCCAGAAUACAGAGUUUCUUUGGCCUGUGGUAUCGGGGUGACCCAGAGGCCCCUAACCCAAGACCAGCAGCAGGGCUCCCAGUGAGCUUGGGGGAAAAGAGGAGGCCCCACAGCAACGCCACUUGGAGCCUGUGGACAGCCCCCAACUCCUGACCGGCCCUGCUUUGCUCUCGAAGAACAUCUUUUUCUGGAGAUCUCGGCUGCGCCAGAGGCCUGACUUUGGUGUGGAGCUGUGGCAAGAUGUGUGACCUCAACUGAAGACAGGGCUCCCUCCUUCCCAGACCUCCCCAGGCUCUUUUCUAGUCAUGGCCUGAGCUGGGGCAUGAUGGAGACUUCAGCCUACUUCCUUCCCUCUACCUCUGUGCCAAGCCUCCAGGGCCAGAUCAAAGAGCUUCCUCUCUGAGUCUCAGGUUCCCCAUCCACGAAAUGGAGAGCUGACGACCUACCUCCCAGGGGUUUGUGCGGAUGGCCUAAGCUAAUGUAAUAAAGCGACUGCCCAUGAUACCUCCCCCCCCAAAAAAUGUAAUUGUUUGUUUACUCAAAAUAAAGCCACAAGGAUGACUUUUAGUUGGGGGAAAAAAGGACUCCUUGAUUUCCUUUUGGGAAGAUAAAUUCGUUAUUAUUUAACAAAUGCGUUUGCUUGUAAACAAAAUCUUUCAAAACAGAGAUUCUGUGAGGGAAAUCAUAUUAAAAGGAGUUUUCAGUGGGGAAGAGAUUAGGAAACCC
ensembl:lncRNA